rnacentral:lncRNA from 1 species
UUCUCCCACCAGAAUCCUAUUUGAUGUGAUUUCUUCAUCUCUCUCUAAUUAAAGUUGUAGUUUUCACUUCUCUCCCGUGAAUUUGGCGUCUGAAGAGCCAAUUUCAGUUUUUGUAUAUCGAAGGCAAGCUAUCAAUACUUUCAUGUCCUUCGUUUUUCCUUAUUCUCAAGCCAUGCGAAGCAAAUCCUAGGGUUUUAGGCUUUUUCAACUCCUUGGUCUUUAAAUUUCUUAUUCGUUGUGAUGUUUCGAAUUUUAUUUUUGCAGUCACAUUGAAGGUCAUAUGAUUUUCAGGACCCGAAUUCAUUGAAACUGGUAUGCAUAAUUUUUUAUUUUUUUUAUAUAUUUGUGCAAUUUUAGCAAUAUUGAGCAUUUUAUUGCCUUGAUUUUUAUUUUUGUUUGGAAAGUGAAGGAUAAAUAUAUACUCAGAUACUGAAUUUCCCACAAAUAUUUCGAGGUUAUGGGUUUAUUUGAGAUAAUGUUUGACUAGAUGGGCAACUAAUAGGAUUAAGGUUUGAAGAUUUUCGAACUGGCCAGCUCUUAACAAGUUUUCAUCUUCAAGCAGUGGUUCAUUGUAAAAGUUUUUCGACAACACUAAAAUGCUGAGGUUCUUGAAUCCUAUUAGGAAGGAAGCCAAUUUGAAAUUUGCAAGUUUAUUUAUUUCAUUGAUUGUAUAUGAUCUUAUUGGAACAUGAUUGGAUUCUACUGUCCAUGAGUUAUUAGUCCCUCUAAUUGCAAGCAGUUUUCCUGGGUUAUUAAUUAUUACUUGCACAAGGGAAGUACUUAUUCUACCAAAAAAAAAAAAAAGGAGUAUAGUACUAGAACUGAUCUAUCAUAGUAAAUAAUGCAAAUAUAUUUGCUGGGGGCCGGUUUCAUGAGAACGGUUGCUUUCAUCUUCAUCACAAGAUCCUCAUUUGUUAAAUUCUUUGUUGUAUUUAGGUUAACUAUUAGAAUUUUUUUAAUGAAUAUACGUUGAUGAAGUGAACAUUCUAGUUAACUAAUGGCACUAAACCAAAUGUGUUUUAAAUAAUCUAACUUAAGAAUAUUCAUUCCAGUAGCUUUUUUUGGUUGACAUAGUUCGUUGUUUUAACUUAAAAUUACUAACGACAUAUUCUCUUUUGUAUGAUUUAUGUGAAUAAAGUGAAAUACAUGAUAUACAUAUUCUCUUUUGUAAGAUCUUGUAAAUUAUGUCUAUCUAGUACUUGUAGCUUAUCAUCUUGUUUUUUCUUGAUCUAACCCAGAGGCUUCUCCUCUUAUGAUUGAAAAGAAAUGAUUCUUGUCUUGUCUGUCUAGUACUAUUUGUCAAUUAAUGUUUGGUUUUAAUAUUUGUAGCUUUCUUUAAUCAGACUGACAUCCUCAACAGCCAGAGGCAAAGCCAAGAUCGAACUACAAGCUGAGCUAACAUGUAAAAAUAUAUAUAAAUUUACACAAAAAAAAAAAAAAAAUUUUGCCCUAAAAAACAUUAAGUGGGCUGGAGAGGGGACUGGGCUACAGCCCAAUCCAAUCCCCCCUUAGAUCCGCCUCUGUCGAUCGCUGUGUUUGUUUUCAAUUUCUGUUUGAACUCCCAUAAUUAAUGGGUGUAGGUUCCACUUUUGGUGAAUCAAGUAUGUAAUUUUAUUUAUUUCUCCUAUAACCAAGAAGCUUAAAGUUAAUUUAUUUGACUUUCACCAUUUUCCUGCACGAAUCUGAGUGAACGUAUUUAAAACGCUUUAUUCUUUAAUUAAGUCUCUUCAAUGGAUUUAAAAAAUUAAAAUUCAAGCAUAUUCGCUAUAAAUCUGGCUUAUUCCUUAUUUUUUUGACCCCCUUCUUUCAAAAGAACAUAACUAUAUUAUAUUAGUCACCAAAAAUCAAGUAUGAUCCUUUUGCAUCUUCUGCUUGUACAACUAAAUCUGCUGCAGACAUAUUUGCUGUCAGACACAGCCAACUAUCAAGAAAUAUCCAAGUUCGAUUUUGUAGUAUAUUUGAGUGACCUUGUAUUGCACAUCUUCACCUUGCAAUGUGUUGUUGAUAAUUGCUCCUUUGUCAUCUUGUUAGCUAUUGAUACAUGUUUUUUGAGAUUGGUACUGAUGAAAGCGAAACGUUCCAAUUCUCAAUGCAUCGUCUUGGUUUUUAUAUGUAACUAGGACGCAAAAUGUCCAAAUCGAACCGAACCGUGUUGUUUUUUUAAGUUAAAUACUCGAACGAGUAUCUAAAUCGAAAACCAAUGGGUUCGGUUCGAUUCUUGGUUCUAGACCAAAAAUCGAAUAAAAACCAAGUCUCCUUAAAUUUUUAAAUUUUUUUAGAUUGGAUAAAUCAAAUUAUUUUAAUUUUUUCUAAAUAAAUUAACUAAUUAACUAAUUAAGUGAUUAAUGUUCCAAUUUUUAGUUUAUUUAUGUUUGUUAAUUGUGCUUUUUCAAAUUUUUCUUGUAGAGUUUCUUUAUAGUAAGUAUGGCAAGUCAAGCAAUUGAUAGCUAAUUCAAAUAGUUGGUAAGUAUUAGCAAUACUUUAAAAUAUUUUAUCUCUAUGACUUAUAAUUUAUAUUUCAUUUUCCAUGCAGACUUAAAGGUUUUAAGUAAAGGAAUCAUUGAUUGGAUCAUUGAAGUUUUAGUAUUAGUAUCUACUUUUUGGUAUUUGUAUGCAUUGGUAAAUUAAUCUUGUUGGACAACUAAUUAUUUAUAUAUUAUUAAAUUAAACUACGUUAAUUUGUAAAAACUACGAUCGAAUGUGUCAUUAGUUGUAUUUAUAUAAUGUCGUUAUGAAUGUUAAAAAAUUCAAUUAUAGUAUGGAAUCGAACCAAAUCGAAUGGAACCGAACCCAAAUAGUUUCAUAAUUAUAUUUGGACUCUAUAGUUCCACUUACCAGAUACCCGAAAAAUUCUGGUUCGAUUCGAUUCUCUUUAAAAUCGAACUAGACCGUGCCCGGGCUUAUAUGUAACGCAUGCAUUUGGAUGCCAAAUUAUAUGUGAUAAUGUUAAAAUCCACUAACCUAAGGUAAAUGCAUUGUAUUGAAUGUAGUGGUGAAAAUGAUUCAAAUAGGCACUUAAGGUAAAUGCACUGUAUUGAAUGUAGUGGUGAUAAUGAUUCAAAUAGCUGACAUAUAUUAAUUGGAAUCAAGACUUUGUUUCGUUUAUCUUCUAGUCUGAUCCAGUUAUUAGAUUUUAGUGUGUAAUUCAUUCUUAUGAACUCCCCUCCUUAUCAAUUUUCAUUAUCUUAUACGUGCAUAAAUUAUAUUGGAUAGCAGGCACUCGUUUACAUUACCACGAUGUCGUAAUAAAGUGAAAAUUGUAGUUAACUAGCGGCACUAAACCAGAUGUGUUCUAAAGAAUCUAACUUAAGAAUAUCCUUCUAGUAGCUUCUUCCUCCUCUUUUUUUUUUUUUUUUUUUGAUAAAAAUGACUAACUACAUAUUCUCUUUUUUGUGAUCUAUGUGAAUACGUGAUACACAUGAUGGAUAGGAGUUGGUCCAAAUCACAAUCUGAAUUUUCUUACAUAGUAUGUCUUAUCUAGUAGGUUUAUUUAUGUUCAAAUUCUCUAGUGCCUAGUAGAUUGUAUGAACUCAAUUAAAAAAUUUCUCUCGUGAUGUAAGAAUAACUUCAAACUAACAAUUUGGUUUUCUUGUACAUUGGGUAAAGCUUGAUUUUCUAGUACCAGAAAUUAAUGUCACUUAACAAAGAAUGUACGUAUUACAUAAAUAAACUUGGUUUAGCUAUUACAUAUUUAAAAAUAUGUGCUUUACUUAUAGUACUAUUCUUUUGCUAAUCUCUAUGCGGGUAGUAAUAUCGUGUAAAUAAAAAAGGUUGAACCCCAACUUUGAGGGUCCCCCACCGCCCCUACCCUGGAGCAUCGUGAGGGAGGUAAAUCGCAGGUUAUGCCUCCAAGGGUACAAGGUGGAAGGCUGUUUGUACACUUACACUUACCCAAAAGCCAAAUUCAUAUUUCAGGAUUCGAACCCUUGACGCGACAGCUUCAAGUAAAAUUGAAUUUUUCCACCCUCCCCUUUUACCACUUGGAGAUGUGCCCUGGGGACGUAAUAUCAUGUAAAUACUUAACAUGAUGGGUUGCUUUCCAUGUGCAGAAAUGUAAUAUACUUGCAUAUUUCUCCAUUGACAAAAUAGUUACAUUUACUUAUCAUAGCGUGUUCCCUCAUGCUUUAUAUGGUCUCACUAUAGUAAUAGGGGUUUAAUGUUUCUUUGCACGAUCAGCUAGAUGCUAAGUGGAACUGGGAUGUCUUUUCUUUCUUUUUACAUUAUUUGAACAGUGACCAAUUGGCCUUGUAGCUUUAGGGUGUCCGUAGGCAAAGUCUUUCUUUCUAAGUGAUAUAUUGUUAUUAUAGCUAACUUUAACAACUUCUCAUAUAUUCGCGUGACUAAAAUUGUGGGAUUUUUCCUUACAGGAAUGCUUAUUUAACCAAAGAAUAAAUUGAUGGUGAGUCGGAAGCAUAUCGUGGCGUCAAGAAUGUUAUUUGGGUGUCUCGUGAGUUUUUUGCUAUUUCUUACAUACUUUUAGUUCUAUUUUCAACAUUUCAAGAUUGGUGAACCAUCCUAAGUAGUUCGACCUUGAAAUUACUAGCAUUAUACUUUAUUUGUAUUUGUUUUAGUUUUGGAGUUAAUUAUCUAUUUUGUUA